AAGGCUUUAGCUUAAUUAAAGUAUCUAUUUUGCACAUAGGAGAUGUGGAGUAACUUCUGCAAGUCUUA
rnacentral:tRNA from 1 species